GCAGAAUAUUAUAAACUAUAAAUAAUAAUACAAUUAUAUACAGAAGAAGACCACUAAAUGAGCAACUCAAUUAUGUAAAUUACAAUCCAAAGUAGUGAUUUUAAUAAUAAAAUCACCAUUACUUAAAUUGACAUAUUUAAAGUGGUAAAAAAAAGAGAGUAAAAAGAGUAACAUAGAAAGAGAAAAUUUAUACUAGCACCUACUAAUAUUGCUUCUAUUAUAUACUAUAUACUCCAAACGUAGUUUUACAUUACAAAAACUACUAUGCUUAAAAGCUCACAAAUUUCUUAUCAAUAUAUCCACGUUGAAACUCGAUUGAUUUUGAAUUUUCACGAUAAAAACGAGGAUAUGUAACAUUCUAUUUCAUUUUCCCGAACUCGAACUCAAAAUUUCAUUUCAGAUCUCCACGCAACAUCCGGAUUGUACAAAUCCUGAAAAUUCAUCAGGAACAUUUAUCUUUGUUAAUUUACUGUUUUGUCCUUGUUUUUUGUUGUUUUCUACGAAAAAGAACCCAUGCGGGGCACCUUGAUAGGCCGACCCGGUAACCAAGGUCCGAUAACCAAGAUC
rnacentral:misc_RNA from 1 species